rnacentral:rRNA from 1 species
AUUGAACGCUGGCGGCAGGCUUAACACAUGCAAGUCGAGCGAGCGGCGGACGGGUGAGUAUGUCUGGGAAACUGCCUGAUGGAGGGGGAUAACUACUGGAAACGGUAGCUAAUACCGCAUACCUUCAGAUGUGCCCAGAUUGGAUUAGGUAGUUGGUGAGGUAAAGGCUCACCAAGCCGACGAUCGCUAGCUGGUCUGAGAGGAUGACCAGCCACACUGGGACUGAGACACGGCCCAGACUCCUACGGGAGGCAGCAGUGGGGAAUAUUGCGCAAUGGGGGCAAGCCUGACGCAGCCAUGCCGCGGGAAGGAAGAAGGCCUUCGGGUUGUAAAGUUCUUUCGGUAGCGAGGCGUUAACUACAGAAGAAGCACCGGCUAACUCCGUGCCAGCAGCCGCGGUAAUAC